AGUCUCGAACUCCUGGGCUCAAGUGAUCCUCCUGCCUCAGCCUCCCAAAGUGCUGGGAUUACAGGUGCAUGCCACCACGCCCACGUAAUUUUAGUAGAGAUGGAGUUUCACCAUGUUAGCCAGGCUGGUCUGGAACUCCUGACCUCUGGUGAUCCGCCCACCUCAGCCUGCCAAAGUGCUGGGAUUACAGGACACUUUGCCACCAUCACCUUGACCUUCAUCGACAAGAACGGAGAGACUGAGCUGUGCAUGGAAGGUCGAGGCAUCCCUGCUCCUGAGGAAGAGCGGACGCGACAGGGCUGGCAGCGGUACUACUUUGAGGGCAUUAAACAGACCUUUGGCUAUGGCGCACGCUUAUUUUAGGGCCAGCGGCAGGGGACUCCAGCCUGCUGGACACUUCAGUCCAGCUCUCUCCUGACUGGGGCUUGCGACUCACAGGAUUGCAUCGUCCCAGCUGCUAACUUGGGGCCGGGGCCCCUCCCUUCCACAUAUACCUUGGGUUUGUGCAUGUUUUCUGCUGGGUGGGUUCAGAGGGCAAUUUCUCUUUUAUGUGUACAUAUGCUAAAUAAACAUAAUUUAAAAAA
rnacentral:lncRNA from 10 species